CGCCAGGGGGCGCGCGCAGCCGGGACACAGCGCAAGCGCGCACGCGUACCGCGCGGCCCACGCCCUGGCCGGCCGGUCUUGAAAGGGAGUGCGCGCCCGCGCCGGCUCGCGCAUGCCCGAGCUGAGGGACUCCGCCCUCUCGAACCGCCCUGCCAAACCGGUUCCAGCUGGAACUUAAUGCACGGUCCGUACGGGAGGCCAAGUGGCGGUCCGUCCCUACGGGCUCACCCUGGUGGCGACGCCUCACUGUAGGUAGGGAAACAGGCUGAGGAGAGGAGCCACCGUGGGCUUUCCGUCCCUCACGCAGGUCCUAGAUACUCAGCCUGGCAGUGUCUAGUUGUCUCUCCGCGCUAUCCCUUGCUGUGCUCCCAAGGGUCCUAAGGAUGGGUUCAGUAUUACACUUGUGUGACCUUAGGCAAGAUGCUCAACCUUUCUGUGCCUCACCAGUCUUUGUAAAAUGUGACAACUGAGUGAGUCCAGUCCCCUCCCCCAGACUGGCAGUCCAUUUACAGCAAGUUCUGCCAGGCACUGAUCCUUGCAGCGUGACAAGCCGGUUGCCUGCUUUCUGUAUUUGGAUCUGACAGAGGGCUGUGAGGAAUGAAGAAGGUAACACUGUUUCCAGUCUUCCCUUUGCAUUAAGACAUAAUAAUGACAAAAGCAACAAACUUAUUUGAUGGCAGCACUGUGCUAAGCACUUUAAAAGCAGGAGUUGGCUACAUCGUGCUCUUCGGUUUCAUUUGCUUUACUUAGUGAAAAGACAAAGUAAAAUCUUGAUAGACUAUGACACCCCAAGUCACCCUUGUGUCACUGCACCCUUCCAAUUCAGUUAACACUCCUUGUCUAACCUUGGGCAAGGCCCCCCUUUCUCUCUGGGAUUCGCCAGUGCUGAGUGUUCCCUGGAGAGAAACCAGGCAGAAACAGAAUUUUAAAAAGGAAGUCUUUGACCCUCUAAAUCCAGUCCACAGAAGAACUCAUGGGCAGCUUCAAUCUGGACUUCACCAAGUCUGGACCUUGGUGCUAGAGUUCACAUGUCAGCACACUUCUCUAUUGGUACUCCCCCCACCCCACACACACACCUGCGGGCGCUCGCACACACGUUCCUCAGGUCCUGUAAGGUGUUUGGGGGGUGGGUGGGACCAUUUUGUGUACUGACUGGGUCCUCACCCAGGAGCUCCAAGUCUGGCUAGCCUCUCUGCAAAAAGGAGUUGACUGGACCCAGGCCUGAGGUGUAAUACUGGCCUCAGAUCCUCCUGCAUGAACCUGGGCUUCUAGGGGAGGGUAAAUGGUCCUUUCCAGAUAGUUGCUGUCCUGUCCCAGGUGGCAGAACAGCAACUGGCUAGAGUUUGAGUCACCAUUUCUGUGGAUUCUUUAAAAAUGUGGACAGUGAAAAUCCGUGCAGUCCGCAUAUAGUAGGCUCUCAGAUACCUAGGAACGUCCCUGUACUGGCUGCUUUUGUGUGUCAACGUGACACAAGCUAGAGUCAUCAGAGAGGAAGGAGCCUCAGGUGAGGAAAUGCCUCCUUGAGAUCCAGCAGUAAGGCAUUUUCCCAAUUAGUGAUCAAGGGAGAAGGGCCCAGCCCACAGUGGUCCUGGGUUCUUUAAGAAAGUAGGCUAAGCAAGCCAUGGGAAGCAAACCAGGAAGCAGCACCCUCCAUGGCCUCUGUACCAGCUCCUGCCUCCAGGUUUCAGCCCUGCUUGAGUUCCUGUCCUGACUUCCUCCAAUGAUGGAUUAUGAUCUGGAAGUGUAAGCCAAAUAAACCCUUUCCUUCCUAACUUGCUUUUUGGUCAUGGUGUUUUCGUCACAUCAAAUAGAAACCCUCGCUAAGACAAUCUGGGACAAGGGCAUGAUAGAACGUAAGGAGAAGCCUGCCUUCUACCCAGUGCCCUGAGGAGAGGUGCCUGCUUCAACAGUAGGAAAUUUGACAGUCAUCCAGGAUAAGGCCUCCUGAAUCCUAUUACCACUGACCCUAUGGCCCUAACAGGGCCGCUGUCCCCUGCCUGACCAGUAUGACAGCCUCUAAUCUUGUUCCUACUGCCAGAUGAUUCUCUUCUUCUUUGUCACAUCCUUGGGUUGCUUCCUUCCUAACCCCAUAGGACAAUGAAGAGCUCAAAGCUUUGAGAAACAUCUCCUUGACCUAUUUUCUGAAUAACCUUGACUGUGACACUUCUAGGCUUUGUAAACCUUCCCACGCCCACUUUUUGAGUAUAUGUGUGUGUGUGCGUGUGCGUGUGCGUGUGUGUGUGUGUGUGUGUGUGUGUGUGUGUAUCGGGGUUAAGUCAGGAAUGGCAGGUAUGUGUAACGCUGGCCAUAGCAGACAUCACUAAUUGGUGGUGGCUCACUUAAUCUGUUUAACUCAGAUUAAAUCUCAAACCUUAGCUUCAGGAAUCAGAAAUGACACUCAAAUUACAGAAUGUUUGCCCUGACACUCUGGGGACUGAAUGGGCUGAGGUUACAGGGCUCUGCUGUGUAAUAACUGGAGAUUAGGGUGGACUAGGCUUGAGAGACAAGACCUAUGUAUAUGUGCAAGGGAAGGGAAAGGAAUCAAAGAAAUCAGAAGAGUUCUAAGGGAUGAGAGAAGGGACAAAAUGAGAGGGAGAGCAGCCUGUGACUUAAAUGGUCCAGAUAACCAAAGUCUAGAUAAACAAUAUGAAGCCCAGGUAGGGACGGCCACCUCUUCAGUGACCUAUCAGCACUGAAGAAAGUACCCUGGGCCUCUGAGCAGGGAGGUAGAAUGUUUUCUGGACUGGAACUUGUCCAGCUCAACCUGGAGCUUGCAGUAUGGGUGAAGAAUGACCCUAAGUCUAUGUACCUGUGUGUGUGUGUGUGUGUGUGUGUGUGUGUGUGUGUGACCGUUUCCACAUUUGAAGAUCUAGAGAAUGUAAUUGGGAGGGUGCCACACAGUAGUCUCCCCACCCCCACACCACUUGCUGUGGGCCCUGUGUGAUAUCUCGGCUUCUGAAUCUGUGUGAUGUGAUUCAGAGGGAGUGGGAGAGACAUAGGAGGGAGGAGGGGAAAGCCCAAAACUGAGAGGAAGGAAAGGAAGAGAAACAGAGGGCUGAGGGAGAAACAGAAGGCGACGACGGUUGAGUGGGGGAGCUGAGGGAAGAGAUGGGAGGGAGGCUUGUCACUGUUCUUGCUUCCUUUCAGAAGCAUAAAGAAAGAAAAGGCAGACCAAAGGGUCGCAUCAUGGCCCUCAUGUCCCCUCCCAGGUGUCCUCUGGCUGGGGAGGGGCUGUAGAAGCUGAGCCCCUGCUGACCCGCUGCCUGCCAGUCACCUGCCAGAGCUAUUUCUGGAAUGUGGAAACUGGGUCAGAAAGGAGGAGGGAGGGUGGCAGUGCUGGAGCCAGAGCUGGGAAGCUGUGAGUAGUGGGUGGGCAGCUACACGCCCCGCCCCCACGAGAGCAGUUGGUUCUGCCUAGGUGCCCACUGCCUCAAGAGCUACCCUGCACCCCCAUCUUCCCACCUACCUGCCUGCAUCUGGUCCUGUGAGCACAUGGGCUCAGGGUGGAGAAACAAACAGAGCUACAUGCCUCUCAGCCAACAACUCAGAACCAACACGGGAAGGCUGGGAAGUAAGAGGAGAGCCUUCUGAGUAGGGGGACUGGCUGUGUGCUGGUGUGUGCCUGUGUAGAGAUGGACGUAAAGGACCAUAUUCUAAUAGAAACCACUGUAUCAUGGUGACUUUUCAGCAGAUGGUGGCAGAGUGUCAUAGGAGACAGUGCCCUUUUUUAACUCGGCACAAAACUACCACACGGACCAGCUGCAGCUCUGGCCAGAAACCUGGAAAUCUGGUGCCUUUGGCUUUCCUGGGUGGCAGGUGAGUAUAUCUGCAGAGCACAAGAGGAGCAGAGGUCAAACCAGAGCAGGUAUGUGGAGGUCACCAUGGGAACCUAUAGUGAAGGCGAAUGGGGAAGCCCGGAGUGUUUCUUCACAAGUGUGGGUGUGAGCUUUGACGGAGACACACAGGCUUGUACUUUGUGUGCAGGGUGUGUCGAACUAGGUAUGCACAUGUAUGCAUAGGAUUAUUGGUACACAUCUGUCUUCACGUCUUUCUUUGUGUGUGUGCACAUCCAUGUGUGGGUGGGUGUGUAUGUUGGGUGUCAUUUUCAGUCUGUACCUUCUUUUUGAGAAACUCGCCAAGUUGGCUAGGCUGGCUGACUGGUUAGGGAUCCACUGUCUUUGCUCCCUCAGAGAUAGGAUGUCUGUGAUGGCUUAAAUGAGAGUGGUCCCCAUACGCUUCUAUAUUUGCAGAUUUAGUCCCUAGCUGGUGGAUUUUUGAGAAGGAUUAGAAGUAUUAAGAAGUGUGGCCUUGCUAAGGAGGAAAUGUGGUCUUUGAGGUUUCAAAAGUGCAUGCCGGACCCAGUGUCUGUCUGACUGUCUGCCUCUCCUCUCUUGUCUGUCUGUGUCUCUCUCCGCCUGCUUCCAGAGGAUCAAGAUGUAAAACUCUUAGCUACUUCUGCAACACCAUGCCUUCCUGCCUGCUGCCAUGCUCCCCACCACGAUGAUAAUGGACUGAGCCUCUGUGAGCCAGCCCCCAAUUCAAUGCUUUUCCUUGAGCCAGGAGGGGGCAGUGGUGCACGCCUUUAUUCCCAGCACCUGGGAGGCAGAGGCAGGUGGAGCUCUGUGAGUUCAAGGCCAGCCUGGUCUGCAGAGCUAGUUUCAGAAACCCUGUCUCACCCUCCACCCACAUCAAAUGAAGAGUCGAGUUACUCAUGUCUCUUCACAGCAAUAGAACACUAAGAAGGUGUGUUACCACGCUUGGAUCCCCCCACCCCCAACAGCAUGGUACUAGUGGUCCAAAUUCAGGUCCUCAUGCUUGCACUAUACCAACUGUACCAUACUGUAUACAGGUCUUUCUGUGACUGUGUAACGUGUGUCUGGGCAGGUACGAGAGGGUGUUGCACAAUACUUUCUUGACUAUAUUUGUGCAAAAGUCCCUGAACUGUUUAACUGAAGCCUACAUCCUUACACUUGAUAACAAAUGCUGGUUCAUCCAGAAUGUGCUCUGUGUGUGUGUGUGUGUGUGUGUGUGUGUGUGUGUGUGUGUGUGUGUGCGUGCGUGCUUUCGCACGCUGUGAUUGCCUUAAUUAUUAUUACUGAAGCAAAGUUGGAAUUUAUUUCUUUAGAAAUGUAGGGUCUUUUGGGGGCUGGGAGGGGCUCAUCACAUAAAAGCUGGCCAUGAGGUCUGAUGGCCUGAGUUUGAUCCCUGGAACCCACACGGAGGUAGAAGGAAGGGCUGGAGAGAUGGCUCAGCCCUUGAGAGGCAGAGAUAGGCAGAUCUCUGUGAUUCCAGGCAAGCUAAGGUUACACAGUGAUGCCCUAUAGGAAGGGGAAAGAAGAGGGAGAAACCAUGCAUGGGGCACUGUUUGCAGGCUCAAACACACACACACACACACACACACAUCAUGCACAUACAUACACAUAGUGAGGAGAGGUAUUUUAAUGCAGAUUGAAGGAGAAAUAGAUUAUAGGUAGAUGAUCGGUUGAUAGACACUGAGGUUGAGACUGAAUCAGUGACCUCAGUUCUCAGUUCUUUGGACUUAUCGUCUUUGCUAUGUCUCACAAAAAUCUCUGUGGCACCAUCAGCUUUGGACUAGUGACUUGCUUUGACUAACUGUUUUUGCCGAUGCGAAGCCAAGAGACUUGAGAUGUCUUACAAAAUUAGUUCGUCCUCCUAUCCUUCUGCCAUGUCCAUGGGGGAAACAGGGCCUGGCUGGGACACUGGCUCAGGAACAGCCUUUGGGCCCAGGGUAUAGGACACACAGAGCAAAGGCAGCUGAUCAGCAGCUCAUAAAUGUCUGCUAUUGUUCCCCACUGCUCAUCCCCAGGCGCCAUUGAGACGGUACACGACAUAGAGUGUGACUUCAUAACAACCAAGAGCUAGCAUCUUGGCCCCAGGAUCACGCAGUGAGGGAAGGAUGAGCAAACUAUUAGGGAGGAUUGGAGAAGAAGCCUGGCUUCUGUUUGGGUGUGGCUCAGAACUCUCAGUGAGAUUCAUCUGUACUGACUUCAAGUGUGCAGAUGUAGUUGGCUAAGACCUGAAGACCUGGGCCCUUUGGAUAAGGAAGUAAAGCGAGAACUCACAACCUGUUAGGGAUACUUAGGGGAAAUAUAAAAGGCCUAGGAAUUGCUGAGCUGAAAAAGAAAUCAGUCAAUUUUAGUCUCCAGUCAGUAGAUCAUUCUCAAAUUAAGAUACAGCCUAAGAUAAAGAUCAAAACAAAGUCAUUGCCAUUUAUAAUACCACACAGGCUAGGGCUUAGGCUUUUAAUCUCAGCACUUGGGAGGCAGAAGUAGGCUGAUGUCUGUGAGUUCAAGGCCAACCUGUUCUACAUAUAGUUCCAGGCUAGCCAGAGCUACAUAGUGAGAUCCUCUAAGAAAGAAAGAAGGAAAAAAAGAAAGAAAGAAAGAAAGAAAGAAAGAGAGGAAGGAAGGAAGAAAGAAAGGAAGGAAGAUAGGCUGAGGGGGGUUGCUGGAGUGACUCAGUGGUUAAGAGCACCGACUACUCUUCUAGAGGUCCUGAGUUAAUUCCCAGCAACCACAUGGUGGCUCACAACCAUCUGUAAUGGGAUUCAGUGCCCUCUUCUGGUGUGUCUGAAGACAAUGUACUCAUAUACACAAAAUAAAUAAUUCUUUUUUAAAGGAAGGGAGAAAGAAAAACAAAAGCACUUGCUAUUUUUGCAGAGGGUGGGGUUUGGCUCACAACUGCCUGUAAGUCCAGUUCGAGGGGAUCUGACACACUCUUCUGGCCACUAUGGUCACCUACAUGCGGGUGGUGCAUAUACAGAAAAGCAGGCACACAGGCACACACAUUGAUACAAACCCCUCAGGUGGGCAAAGGAGCUAUGGGAAAGCUCAGUGGUGUGGUCCCACAGCAUCCCAGUAUAGGAAUAGUUAAGUAAAGGGAGGUGAGGCUCAAAGUGGUCGUGGAUAUGACUUUGGCACAAAGUGACAUGAAAUUAAAUUAAAUGAACUGUGUUUGAUCUAGGUCAAUCAACUCAGUCAGCUUCUGCUAUGGAAGGUGAAUCCUUCUGCUGCUCCUAGGAAGGAAGCAGGCAAAGGUUCAAAGUUCAUUUCUCAGGGCAGGAAAUCUUCAGAACGAGUCUCCUAUCUCACAGAGUGGGCUCAUCGGCUUGCUCAGAAGGACUUCAGAAUCGCCCAAGUCAGAAAACCUGUGAGCCCCCUCCUGUCCCAGCUCAACAGAGUCUGGGUGGCAGCUGCCCUGUCCUUGUGCUAAGUCAAAGGUCUCCAUUAGGGGAAGAGGGUGUUGGGUGACAGGGCAGGUAACACAGCUUUUUAGAUCAUAGGUUGAUGGAUCAAGAAAAGCUGUAGGGCUGGAGAGAUGGCUCAGCAGUUAAGAGCACUGACUGCUCUUCCAGAGGUCCUGAGUUCAAUUCCCAGCAACCACAUGGUGGCUCACAACCAUCUUAAAGAGAUCCGAUGCCCUCUUCUGGUGUAUCUGAAGACAGCUACAGUGUACUUACAUAUAAUAAAUGAAUAAAUUAAAAAAAAAAAAAGGAAAGAAAAGCUGUAACCAGAUCUAGCACAAAUCAUGGAUCUCAACACUGUGGCUGUAUGAAACUUAGGGGGAUCUUGGGUAGGAUAAGUGUUCUGUAUGAGAGAGGCAUGCAUACAUGUGUGGGAUACAGCAGGCUGAUCUUCAACCCUCUGCGUGCACACCCUUUGCCACAGGGAUACAAUCUCUUCUCCAAAAGUGAAAAGGGUCCUCACCCUUGAUUCUGAGCUCAGUCGUGCAACUUGCUUUAGCCAAUGGGAUGUUUGCUUAUGUUGGGCCUUGAAUGUGCUUGUACUGUUAGGCUCGCUCUCUUGCCUUCUGCCCUCCUCCUGAGAACAACUCAUUCUGAGGACCUCUGGUCCCAGGAGAAGCAUGAGGCUGACAAACUUGGGGAUGUCUAUUGUUGUACUGUGUUUGUUGUGCAGCAUUACGGAAGCAAGAGCUAUCUCAAAGAGGGGCCCACAUGGCCUGGGUUCUGGGAUGUGCAGUUAUGGGUCUGUGCACUCAUGAGUGAUGGGGGCUGGAGGAAGUCGAGGGUUUAUUUGCAGUGAAUUUCUAUAGAUGUCCUGCGUCCUUCUAAGCCCAUCUCAAUAGCACACGGGAGGCAGAGGCAGGCAAAUCUCAGUUUGAGGCUAGCCUGGUCUACAGAGCAAGUUCCAGGACAGCCAGGAGUACACAGAGAAACCUUGUCUCAAAAACACAUCCCCCCAACCCCCAACACACCCAGAGAACGUCUCUGGGGCAUGAGAAUGUGGAGAAGGUGAUGUUACCUGAGACUCCCAUUAGUGCAGCAGAGCUCUGGGACAGCCUGGCAGAGCUCUCUGGAUUUGGAAGCCACAGAACAGCAGCAACCUCCACCCCAGCCUGGAGACUUCUGUAGAGUAGCGGGUCACCCAUGAGCAGAGACGGAAGGCACUAGAGAAGCAGUGCCUCCAAGAGGCAACUAUGUUGCUUUUCAAACAGGUUAAAAUGGUUACAGGGUACGGGGUGGGGCUGCAGUUGUCUUUAGAAGGCUCUGUCCUAGGACAAACUGCCCAGCUAAAAGGCCGAGUGAGGAGGACCGACUGCCAGAUGGUGAAGCCCAGGGGGUGGGAGGCAGCUUUGCUCACCCUGGGACAGAGGAUGCCGGGAAGCCUCUUCCCGAUAGGAUAAGAAACCAGACUGUGGCUUCAGUUGUUCAAAGUCCCCAAACCAGUAGAGCCAGAAACAACAGUGAACAAGACUCAGAGAAGACCAGACCAUGACACCUAGCUCCUUGACAGCGUUUUCCAGCCAUGUCAGGCCCCAGGUGCAGCGGCACGAGAUUUGCGGCAGACUGGUCUAAGAGAUUAGACUGGAAUGGACUCCUCACAGCUAAAAGCCAGGCUGUUCCUCCAGGUGUAAAAGGGGCCAGAGUUUAGGGAUCUGUCUUGGGGUACCCACUCGGGCUGGGAUGGGAAGUCUGCAAGGGUAAUGGGCAGUGCAGUGGGACCACCGUUUCUGCUCUGUUCCUGAAGGGACCAGUUCAUUUAAUCAAUGUUGGCCACCUGCGUACAACAUCUGUGGGGCUCAGUUCACUUAGUGACAUCGGAAACCAGCAGCCAUCUCUUCUUACAACCCAACCCCACUGCCCUGGACUGGCAUGGAGGUUCAGAGUUGAGGCUAAGGAGCAGUUAUAACAGAAAGUACCUGUCCCGUCCCAGCAAAUGGUGUUUACUUAGGGUCUGUACAUGGCGAGAAUGUUAUAGGUAGCUUCCUGCAUGGUCCAACAACCCCAGGACUCUAGGGUCUGGUUUAGUCAUGGAGAAAAUAAAGGGCAAGAAGAGUAGACUCAGGGUGGUCUCGACCAGUCCACACUUUGUAGUGUGGCCCCUGGUCUGACUUUCUGCUUCUGCCUGGCUUGGGCACACAGUGUGGCUCCUUCCUCUGCUCACACAGGGGUCAGAACAACCUGAGGACGGUAGGGCCAUCCCUGAUUGUGAACAUGAGAGACAAACUCACCCCACUGGGAAGGCUGGGAGUGGAUUUAACCCCUCAUUCCUCUCUUUGCCUUCCCUGAAGGUUCUUGCCUUUCCUAUAGGUUUGUCUACACAGCUAACCCCAAGUGGGUUAGUAAGCCCUGCUUAUCAGCAAGAGGCUGCUCUAAGCAGGGAUCUCUGGGCUCCCACACUCUCCAUCCCUGCCCACUGGACGGUCUGUUUCUGCUAGCUGUUUAGCCUCACCAGUUAGCUGUUAGUUCUCCACCGUCCCUCCUGUGGUGACCUAUGGCUCCUCCCUGGCAUCCCUCUAGGCUGCCCACCCGGAUAUUUCCUGUGCCCUCCCCUGGUGAACAGCCCGAAGUGGAAUGAACGCCAACCUCCUGCAUACGGUACUCACUUGGAAGUGUACGGCUGUUGCUGAGGCUGCCGGUGCUGGGCGGUGGGGAGAGGGACUGCAGGGAGACACUGUCCUCCUCCUGCGAGCAGCCCGCCUGGAUGGCUCGCAGGUAGCUGUGGCUGCGUGAGCGGAAGUAGCUGGGCAGCGACAAGUCGAGCGCCUCUGCGGCUGUCGACUCAGCCUCACUGCAGGCCGACUCACAGGCUGCCUCAUACUGGUCACUCAGGUCUGCCUCCCGGACCUGUCCAGACAGAGGCAGGCAUCAGAGCCUGGCUUUGCCAGUCUUUGCUGGUCUAGCUCAGCUCCAGGGCUAGAGGCUUUCCUUGGCUGUCCCUUAGUCUAUCUCUCCUCCUCUCACCUCACUCAGGGCACAAAUGCCUUAGGAUUAAACAGCCCUCUCAUCUCUGUGGGCCUCCGUUUCUCCAUCUACAACAAGAAAAAUGCUGGAAUAUUACAGGAUGCUGACAAAAUAAGGUUUAAUAAAACCUUGUUGUCUGUACUAAUCUACUGAAUUCAUCAUGAAAGAAUCUGAGCCAUUGGUAAUGUUGGGUAUUUACCAUUUAAUAAGUUCUUUUUUGGGGCUGGGGAUUUAGCUCAGUGGUAGAGCGCUUACCUAGGAAGCGCAAAGCCCUGGGUUCGGUCCCCAGCUCCGAAAAAAAGAACCAAAAAAAAAAAAAAAAAUGCUGGCCUGGUGGCAAAGCCACGUCUGCGCUUGCUCUUGCUCCCCGCAGGCCCCUUACCUAGGAAGCUUCUUACAUCUUUUUUUUUCUUUUUUUGGUUCUUUUUUUCGGAGCUGGGGACUGAACCCAGGGCUUUGCGCUUCCUAGGUAAGCGCUCUACCACUGAGCUAAAUCCCCAGCCCCCAUUUAAUAAGUUCUAGUAACAAACAAAAACAAAAAACAAAACAAACAAACAAACAAACAAAAAAAAACCCACAAGAAACCCCCCCCCCCCCCGAGGGACAGUAAGAAGACACUUGUCAAGGGUACCUAGUGAGGAAGGAGCAGAACCAGCGAUCCAAAUAUGUAAGGAAUAGUAAUCCAGUGGAUGCUGUGGUCUGAAGAAAGGGUCUGGGAAGGAGGCAAAGGCUAGAGACAAGCGGAUGCAACAGCUUGGUGGAUGGUGACCACCAUGAUGUCUUACCAGGGCAAUAGGGGGAGUGGUUAUGGGUAUCUGUGCCAUUUCAAAUCACACACUUCCUAAGCAUCUCUCCAGAGAUCACCACCCAGGAUCCUGCAGACAGGAAGCUAGAGGUGUGACACAGGGGCCUCACCACACCUACACCCUGAAGAUUCUGGUAGCCCUUACUGAUUUCCAUUACAGGCUAUGUUGGCAGCUAGGGGCCAUGCAGCAGAAGCUAACGAGUCAGCUGGCCACAGGUGGACUCUAGGUAGAAGCCUGGGGGACCCAGAGCUGGAGGAGGAUCGGGGAGGAAGAGAAGGAGGAGGAGGACGGGGGAAGAGGAGGGGGAGGCACAGCGGACCGAAUGCCCUGUGGAGUGACGAUGGAUCUGGGCCAGCUCUAACCCAGCAGCACAACCUCAGCAGCUCUGGGCUGGCUUAAGAAUGCAUUUCCUUGUCUGCGUGAAAGGGAACAACCUGGGUAACAGCCUGUGUGUCCUUCAGACCCAAAUGCCUAGAUGGUCCCUCACAUAACUGGGAAGGCAUUUGGAAAGGUUUGAACCUGUGCUAUCAUGGAAGCUAUGAGACACACACGGCCAUGCCAUUUAGGUUUACAUCAAUUAGAACUGAGUGAAUUUGGUAGACAUACUAGUCACAUUUCACUGGGUCAAACACCAUGGACAGACAUGGGUUGUAGACCAUUAGCUAUCACUGCAGGACAUUCCAUUGGAUAAUCUGUUAAGUUAAAAUCAGGCCGCAUGGCAAACCCAAAAUACAUCUACAGAGGACAUUAAAGUGUUGUGUUAUCUUUCAAAGACGAAAACCGAUGUAUUUUUGAGAGCCUCUGUGACUGCCCAGGGCAACAAGGUCUUGCUUUGGAUCUGCACCAUAAGAACAGAGCUCUGGGGUUGGAAAGAUGGCUCAGUGGUUAAGAGCACUGAGUGCCCUUCCAGAGGUCCUGAGUUCAAUUCCCAGCAACCACAUGGUGGCUCACAACCAUCUGUAAUGGGAUCUAAUGUGUGUCUGAAGACAGCCACAGUGUACUUAUACACAUAAAAUAAAUAAAUUUUUUAAAAAAAGAACAGAGCCCCAAGAGCAGACUGCCCAGGUAUUGAUUGUGGGCCCAUCAUCUUCCUGACAAUACAAAUGUGGGCAGAUCAUCUACUCUUUGCCUCAGUUUUCCAUCUAUAAAAUGGGACUGAUAACAGUCCUAAUUUCAAAGUGCUGUCAAAACUAAAUGAGGGCUGGGUGUACUUGCCUCUCUCAGUGCUUAGGAUGCAGAGGCAGGGGGAUCAGGGCCUUAAAGCUAGGUGGGCUGCAUAGGAAGGUUAAGGCCAGUCUGGGAUAUGAGGCCCCAUCUCAAACAAAACCAAGUCUACACAAGCUGAUUCAUCACCUGGUCAGAACAGAGUCCAGGAAAGACUCACUGGUCACACACACCUGAUAAUGCAGAAAAAGCUGUGUGGCAGGACCAGUGUUUAUAAAUGUUUGUGCGGAUGUUCCCAAACCGGUAGGAGGUGUCAAGUAGUCUGUGUGAGUGUCCCUGAGAGGCAUGUACAGGCGCUUCUGUGCGUGUUACUGUCACAUGUUUAAUGUAAACCUGUGGGAGCCACGGGAUGGAGAAUUGCCUGGCUACACUCCUUACAGAGUAACCCAGUGUCCUGUAACAUGAGGACGAUACAGCACACACUGUGGCUGGAAUUAGGAGACAGCCAGAACUAGCUUCGCCACUAUGUGGGAAGUGCCUUGGGAGGCAUGCCCACCCCUGACCGAGGUGAAAGGCUGAAUUCUGUGUACGCUUCUACUGAAGUUUGGUCUGCUGCUGUGUAUUGUAAGCCCCAAGUAAUUGUCAAAGUCAAAUAAAAUAACCUUGGUCUGCAUCUCAUUCAUUCGUAAGCUAGACAGGGGUUGGGGGAGAUGUGGUGGUUUGAAUAUGCUUGGUCCAGUGGGGUGGCACUAUUCGGAGGUGUGGCUUUGUUGGAAGAAGUGUGUCACUGUGGGCAUGGACUUUAAGACCCUCCUCCUGAUCAUGUGGGAGCCAGUCUUCUCCUAUAAGCCUUCAGAUGAAGAUGUAGAACUCUCAGCUCCUCCUGCACCGUGCCUGCCUGGAUGCUGCCAUGUUCCUGCCUUGAUGAUAAUGGACUGAACCUCUGAACCUGUAAGCCAGCCCCAAUUAAAUGUUGUCUAAGAG